UACAGAGGUCUCGAGCGUUGUUCGGAUUCAUUGGGCGUAAAGGGUGCGUAGGUGGCGCUGUAAGUCAGGUGUGAAAUUUCGGAGCUUAACUCCGAAACUGCAUUUGAUACUGCGGUGCUUGAGGACUGGAGAGGAGACUGGAAUUUACGGUGUAGCAGUGAAAUGCGUAGAGAUCGUAAGGAAGACCAGUGGCGAAGGCGGGUCUCUGGACAGUAACUGACGCUGAUGCACGAAAGCUAGGGGAGCAAACAGG
rnacentral:rRNA from 1 species